rnacentral:rRNA from 1 species
GACGAACGCUGGCGGCGUGCCUAAUACAUGCAAGUUGAACGCUUCUUUCUUAUCGAACUUCGGUUCACCAAGAAAGAAGAGUAGCGAACGGGUGAGUAACACGUGGGUAACCUGCCCAUCAGCGGGGGAUAACACUUGGAAACAGGUGCUAAUACCGCAUAAUACUUUUUCUCUCAUGAGUGAAAGUUGAAAGGCGCUUUUGCGUCACUGAUGGAUGGACCCGCGGUGCAUUAGCUAGUUGGUAGGGUAACGGCCUACCAAGGCAACGAUGCAUAGCCGACCUGAGAGGGUGAUCGGCCACACUGGGACUGAGACACGGCCCAGACUCCUACGGGAGGCAGCAGUAGGGAAUCUUCGGCAAUGGACGAAAGUCUGACCGAGCAACGCCGCGUGAGUGAAGAAGGUUUUCGGAUCGUAAAACUCUGUUGUUAGAGAAGAACAAGGAUGAGAAGAGAAUGUUCAUCCCUUGACGGUAUCUAACCAGAAAGCCACGGCUAACUACGUGCCAGCAGCCGCGGUAAUACGUAGGUGGCAAGCGUUGUCCGGAUUUAUUGGGCGUAAAGCGAGCGCAGGCGGUUCUUUAAGUCUGAUGUGAAAGCCCCCGGCUCAACCGGGGAGGGUCAUUGGAAACUGGGGAACUUGAGUGCAGAAGAGGAGAGUGGAAUUC